AGAUGUGUAGCUUAUAUUUAAAGUGUAGCUUUGAAGAUGCUAAGAACAAACCAUCUA
rnacentral:tRNA from 1 species